AUCUGGCUGUCGUGAUGCCUAAAAAGCAUUGCAUAGCAAGGGCCGGGCAAGACCGGUGCCAGCCGCCGCGGUAACACCGGCGGCUCGAGUGGUAACCGUUAUUAUUGGGUCUAAAGGGUCUGUAGCCGGCCGGAUAAGUCUCUUGGGAAAUCCAGCAGCUCAACUGUUGGGCUUUCAGGAGAUACUGUCUGGCUCGAGGCCGGGAGAGGUGAGAGGUACUUCAGGGGUAGGGGUGAAAUCUUGUAAUCCUUGAAGGACCACCAGUGGCGAAGGCGUCUCACCAGAACGGACCUGACGGCAAGGGACGAAAGCUAGGGGCACGAACCGGAUUAGAUACCCGGGUAGUCCUAGCCGUAAACGAUACUCGCUAGGUGUCGGCCACGGUGCGACCGUUGUCGGUGCCGUAGGGAAGCCGUGAAGCGAGCCACCUGGGAAGUACGGCCGCAAGGCUGAAACUUAAAGGAAUUGGCGGGGGAGCAC
rnacentral:rRNA from 1 species